UGGUAGUNCACGCCCUAAACGAUGUCGAUUAGCUGUUGGGCAGCAUGACUGCUUAGUAGCGAAGCUAACGCGUGAAAUCGACCGCCUGGGGAGUACGGUCGCAAGAUUAAAACUCAAAGGAAUUGACGGGGACCCGCACAAGCGGUGGAUGAUGUGGAUUAAUUCGAUGCAACGCGAAGAACCUUACCUGGUCUUGACAUGUACGGAAUCCUCCAGAGACGGAGGGGUGCCUUCGGGAGCCGUAACACAGGUGCUGCAUGGCUGUCGUCAGCUCGUGUCGUGAGAUGUUGGGUUAAGUCCCGCAACGAGCGCAACCCUUGUCAUUAGUUGCCAUCAUUAAGUUGGGCACUCUAGUGAGACUGCCGGUGACAAGCCGGAGGAAGGUGGGGAUGACGUCAAGUCCUCAUGGCCCUUAUGACCAGGGCUUCACACGUCAUACAAUGGUCGGUACAGAGGGUAGCCAAGCCGCGAGGUGGAGCCAAUCUCACAAAACCGAUCGUAGUCCGGAUUGCACUCUGCAACUCGAGUGCAUGAAGUCGGAAUCGCUAGUAAUCGCAGGUCAGCAUACUGCGGUGAAUACGUUCCCGGGUCUUGUACACACCGCCCGUCACACCAUGGGAGUGGGGGAUACCAGAAGUAGGUAGGGUAACCGCAAGGAG
rnacentral:rRNA from 1 species